ACAGAGGGUGCGAGCGUUGUUCGGAAUUAUUGGGCGUAAAGCGCGUGUAGGCGGCUUAGCAAGUCAGGUGUGAAAGCCCUCGGCUUAACCGAGGAAGUGCGCCUGAAACUGCUGAGCUUGAGUACCGGAGAGGGCAGCGGAAUUCCCGGUGUAGAGGUGAAAUUCGUAGAUAUCGGGAGGAACACCAGCGGCGAAGGCGGCUGCCUGGACGGUCACUGACGCUGAGACGCGAAAGCGUGGGGAGCAAACAG
rnacentral:rRNA from 1 species